rnacentral:rRNA from 1 species
CCAGGGCCUAAAAAUGUCAAGUCGAGCGGUAACAGGAGAAAGCUUGCUUUCUUGCUGACGAGCGGCGGACGGGUGAGUAAUGUAUGGGGAUCUGCCCGAUAGAGGGGGAUAACUACUGGAAACGGUGGCUAAUACCGCAUAAUGUCUACGGACCAAAGCAGGGGCUCUUCGGACCUUGCACUAUCGGAUGAACCCAUAUGGGAUUAGCUAGUAGGUGGGGUAAAGGCUCACCUAGGCGACGAUCUCUAGCUGGUCUGAGAGGAUGAUCAGCCACACUGGGACUGAGACACGGCCCAGACUCCUACGGGAGGCAGCAGUGGGGAAUAUUGCACAAUGGGCGCAAGCCUGAUGCAGCCAUGCCGCGUGUAUGAAGAAGGCCUUAGGGUUGUAAAGUACUUUCAGCGGGGAGGAAGGUGAUAAGGUUAAUACCCUUGUCAAUUGACGUUACCCGCAGAAGAAGCACCGGCUAACUCCGUGCCAGCAGCCGCGGUAAUACGGAGGGUGCAAGCGUUAAUCGGAAUUACUGGGCGUAAAGCGCACGCAGGCGGUCAAUUAAGUCAGAUGUGAAAGCCCCGAGCUUAACUUGGGAAUUGCAUCUGAAACUGGUUGGCUAGAGUCUUGUAGAGGGGGGUAGAAUUCCAUGUGUAGCGGUGAAAUGCGUAGAGAUGUGGAGGAAUACCGGUGGCGAAGGCGGCCCCCUGGACAAAGACUGACGCUCAGGUGCGAAAGCGUGGGAGCAAACAGGAUUAGAUACCCUGGUAGUCCACGCUGUAAACGAUGUCGAUUUAGAGGUUGUGCUCUUGAAGCGUGGCUUCUGGAGCUAACGCGUUAAAUCGACCGCCUGGGAGUACGGCCGCAAGGUUAAAACUCAAAUGAAUUGACGGGGGCCCGCACAAGCGGUGGAGCAUGUGGUUUAAUUCGAUGCAACGCGAAGAACCCUUACCUACUCUUGACAUCCAGCGAAUCCUUUAGAGGAUAGAGUGAGUGCCUUCGGGAACGCUGAGACAGGUGCUGCAUGAAUGUCGUCAGCUCGUGUUGUGAAUGUGGGUUAAGUCCCGCACGGAGCGCACCCUAUCCUUUGUGCCAGCACGUUAUGCUGAACUCAAAGGAAACUGCCGUGAUAAUCGAGGAGGGUGGGGAUGACCUUCAAGUCAUCAUGCCUUCCGAGAUGCUACCAGUGCUACAUGCGAUCAAGAAGCGACUCUGCCGAGAG